GUACCACCGUGAAGCUGCCGCGGUGGGCGUGACGAACACUUGUACUAGCUAAAAUGAUGAAUAACGAUGAAGACCGCUGCGAGCUAAAUGUCGUGUGUGCCGCUGCUCUCCUUCUUUUUCUGGUGAACGUAGUUUCUCGUGAGCUCAACGCGCAGUCCAGCCUGUUCGCCUGCGCAGGGGGAAAGCCUCCCUCGUGUAGCAUUUGAGCUAGUUCAUCUUCCAAGUUCCCGAUAGCUGAGACACGCACGGGGAGAGUUUAACGGACAGCGGUGAUUCAGCUCGAGACUGAAGAGCACGGGGAGCGGGACGCCGUUUGAUGUUAGCGUCCAUCACUGCGUGCGUGUCGUCCUCGGCUCGAAUAGCCUGCUUUGUGUCUGACGGGAUGUCGGGAUGACAGGAAGAUGGCAAACGGGGUUGGAAAACACAAGCUGCUUGUCAUUGGACCAACGGAGCCGUGGUCAGUGAGGGAGAAGCUGUGUUUGGCCACAUCUGUCAUGAAGAGUGGAGACCAGAACUGGGUGUCUGUCAGUCGAACCAUCAAACCAUUUGCAGAAUCUGGGCGACCCCCUGACUGGUUCUCACAAAAGCACUGUGCCUCUAAGUAUUCCGAGCUCCUGCAAACAACAGAAACCCCAAAGCGUAAGCGUGGAGAGAAAGGUGAAGUGGUGGAGACGGUGGAGGACGUGAUAGUGCGCAGGCUCACAGCCGAGAGGAUCGACGAGCUAAAAAAGCUGAUCAAAGAAACGCAGGAGAAGCACAGGAAGCUGAAGAGAGAGGCUGAACUGAUUCAAGCAGGAUAUCUUGAUUCCAAACUCGAGGAGUUAUGGGAAGAGAUCCUGCAGAAGAAGAAACUGGAAGAGGAGGAGGCAGAGUUGAAAAGAAAACACACAGAUGCUGCUUAUCAGGCCAGACAGGUGGCAAAGAACACACCUAAACGAGUGAUCGGCAUCACCAUGCAUACGCCCUCAGACUGCCGCUCCCCAAGCCAGGAGUUCUCAUCAGGCGACCCACUCAAGUGCUUGACUCUGGAUCUCGAAUCUACAAAGAAUGCUUCAGGGUCAGCCAGAUUAAUGACAAUCCCUGAGUCUUCUGGACCCGGUAGUGAUGACGCGAGCCACGGGUCACUUCUGGAUGACCCCACCCAAAAAAAGCUACUGGGGCAGAAAGCCACACCACCGCCAUCUCCACUCCUGUCAGAGUUACUGAAAAAAGGCAGUAUCUUGGCCACAAAUUCCAGACUGAUUGGCGACGGCGACGCUGGUAACAUGACAGGAGCGCUUGACUUGCAGCUGGCUCCACCUAGUCAACCUCUCUCUCAGGCAACAGGUGCCCCAAUGUUGUCUCGUCUCCUGGAGGCGGGACCCGCCCAGUUUUCUGCCCCGUUAGGUUUCAUGGUCGGCGCAGACUCUGCCUCCCGUGCUCCCCUCUCUGCUGCCACUCCUGUUCCUGUUGAUGCCACCGUCUCAGCGAGUACAGAGAUGGAUGUCAUGGUGCCGUCUGUGCCCCCUGCGUGCCAGCCUGUCUCUGCAGAGGACAAAGUGUCAGAGCUCAGUGAGGAGGACGUGAGCGUGUCCUACAUGGGAGACGAGCUGGACCUGAAGACUGUGGGGGACAUAAUCGCCAUCAUCGAAGACAAGGCAGAUGAGGCUGCAGAGGCUUUGGAUGCAGCUGCAGUCGAGGCUGCUCUGUCACUGUGCGAGGAGAACGGCCAUGCUAUGUCUGCUGCUUGGGAGGCUGGGCCUUUUCAGCCCCACGAGCCUCACCCAGCAGUGCCCACAGAGGUCCCGCAGUCCUUACGGCCGUUGUCUCUUCACAGUACCGUCGAGGGGAAGACAGAACUCUCCUCUCUGUGCAACACUCAACAUAACUGUCUCACAGCAUUACCCAUGGGACUGAGGGCCCUUCCUCCCACCUCCUCAUCCUCAUGCAACUCGAAGAGUUUGGAACACUGCCACACUGGACCUCCUCCACAGCCUGAGGCAGUGAGACAGAGUGGAGAGAUGGUGCAGCAAAAGAGCCAAAUUUCAUUGGAUGGCACCAUAAAAUGUAAGAGUGAGAAGUGGACACAGCAAAGACCUGAUAGACCCUAUGGAGACUCAGUAUUAGGACAUAGCCCACUGACAGAAAGGCAUCCCAAGGGGAUGAAGGCAGAGGAUGGGACGAGCAUUAAGCGAGGACAGAACGUCUCAGGGACCAAAGUGCACAACGAGAUCAACGAGCCAGAGGUGUGUGGAGAAGAAGAGGGCGAUGGGGUGGAGGGAUUCCUGUCAGAGCCGGACGGGGAGAUGGAGCUAGAACCCGCAGCCAGCGAGAGCGAGGACGGAUACAGCCUGCACACGGCCUCCUCGUCUCUGCAGCUCCACACGGCCGCUGACUCCAUCCCCAGCAGCCCCGCCUCGUCACAGUUCUCCGUGUGCAGCGAGGACCUGGAAGCUCUACAGGCUCACAAGAUUUGGAAGAAAGCCAUUAUGCUGGUGUGGCGUGCAGCGGCCAAUCACAGGUAUGCAAAUGUCUUCCUGCAGCCAGUAACAGAUGAAAUUGCACCUGGGUACCACAGUAUUGUGCACAGGCCCAUGGACCUGGCCACCAUAAAAAAGAACAUUGAGACCGGUCUGAUUCGGACCACCGCAGAGUUCCAGAGGGACAUCAUGCUGAUGUUUCAGAACGCGGUCAUGUACAAUGGCCUGGAUCACGACGUGUACCACAUGGCUCUGGAGAUGCAGCGUGACGUCCUGGAACAGAUCCAGCAGUUUUUAGCCACCCAGCUCAUCAUGGAGACAUCAGAGUCUGGUAUCAGCGCCAAGAGCCUGAGGGGCCGUGAGAGCACACGCAAACAGGACUCUACUGACAAGGUGCUUCACUAGAAUUUUGACAAAAGCAGAGAGUACAGAAGAAGAGACAAGGGACUCUGUCUCCAUGUCCUCUCCUGCCUUCCUCCUUUCUCUUUUUGAUGGUGGCACUAGAGGUCGCCGUUGUGCCAUAGAAGCCGACCUCAAGAUGAAGAAAUGACCAUACUGUAUGAAAACGAUUCGCCAGUGUUCCCAGAGCUGCGAGACUGAACAUAUUCUCUGUCAUUUGGACAGAUUCUCACCCUGCAUACGGUACAACGUCUUCACCCGCGCUCCACAAUAAACGGUAGCCUGUAAUGCGGAGCAGCUCAUUUCUUGUGAGACAGCCAUGCAGAGAUGGAUUACAUACUGUGUAAUCCCAUGAUCAGAGGACCAUGUUCAUUUCAGAAAUAUUCUCAUGGCUGGUAUGAAAUCAGUUUUUGAUUGUUUCAACUUUUAGAUCACUUUUAAAUAUGGCUGUAUUGUUUGUGAUGAGUUACUUCACUUCCUAUGAACCAGUACCUACAUCCGUAUUCUACAUCGGUUUCAGUAUUUUUUAAAACAUCAUGUUAAUCAACUGUUUUGUGGACUUAAUAAAGAGCCCUCAACCCAUUAUGUAAUUUUUUUUAAGAUUAUUUUUUAGGGUUGUUGUGCCUUUAUUUGAUCGUGGCAGCUGAAGAGAAGUGACAGGAAGUUGGAGAGGGAGAGAUGAGGACAUACAGCAAAGGGCCACAUGUUGGAAUUGAACUGAGGCUGCAGCAGUAAGGGCUGAGUCCGUGUACACGGAGUACACGCUCUACCAGGUGAGCUACCAGGGCGCCAGAUCUUUCUAUGGGGGAUUUAAAUAGCCGGCAUUACAUAUCCUUUUUUUUUUUUUUUUUUUAAAUGAAAGUCUGCUUUACCUAACUCAUGACACUGAUGUAAGGAAAAACAAGAUUUCUCAGGAACGGUAGACUGUAGUGUCCACAUGGCACCAAACUGUUAAAAGUUCUGCGAGCAUUUCACUCUGGUAGAAGACCAGUGAUGAAGAUUUUUGCAUUUGUUAAGCCAUUUUCAGUGUUAUCAUAAUCAAUCAAUACCAACAAUCAGUUACACCCAUUCAUAGCUUUUAGAGAACCAGAGCCAACUCAUAAACACCACUUUACCCGUGCAGAUACAGUGCUCACGUUUUCAUUCUGACCACCUCCACAGACGCUGCAAAGUGAAAGGAUGAAGUGUUUUUUUGUAUUUCUGUUAAAAGUAUUUUAGUUUGACAACUUGAAGGAUAUACAUUACCGUUUCUAAGAUAAUAUCUUAAGUUGUACAUCUAGUCCUUGAAAUAAGUCAGACAUCUUUAGACCAGCAUUUAUGACCUGUCUGAUUCUCUCCUUAAACAUGUUAAAAUGUACAGAAAUGUUCAUGCUUUACUGUAUGUGUGGUAGUGUAGUAGUGAGUGGCUCAGUAAAUAUGUUUGGUUAAAGCUCAGCUUUUUGUUGUGAUAUUUUAAAAGUUUUUUCCAGUUCCAAUAAUCCAAAUAUUUGAUGUUCACUCUCAGUGUCGGUGCCUGACCACCCUGAAAUAAAGAGACUUUAAGACCA